rnacentral:rRNA from 1 species
UACGGAAGGCAGCAGGGGGGAAUAUUGCACAAUGGGCGCAAGCCUGAUGCAGCCAUGCCGCGUGUAUGAAAAAGGCCUUCGGGUUGUAAAGUACUUUUCAGUCGUGAGGAAGGUGUUAAGGUUAAUAACCUUAGCAAUUGACGUUAGCGACAGAAGAAGCACCGGCUAACUCCGUGCCAGCAGCCGCGGUAAUACGGAGGGUGCGAGCGUUAAUCGGAAUUACUGGGCGUAAAGGGCACGCAGGCGGUUAAUUAAGUUGGAUGUGAAAUCCCCGGGCUUAACCUGGGAAUGGCAUUCAAGACUGGUUAGCUAGAGUCUUGUAGAGGGGGUAGAAUUCCAUGUGUAGCGGUGAAAUGCGUAGAGAUGUGGAGGAAUACCGGUGGCGAAGGCGGCCCCUGGACAAAGACUGGACGCUCAUGUGCGAAAGCGUGGGGAGCAAACGAGGGAUUAGAUACC